AGCUCAGCUGGAUAGAGUACCUGGCUACGAACCAGGCGGUCGGAGGUUCGAAUCCUCCA
rnacentral:tRNA from 2 species